rnacentral:rRNA from 1 species
AACGAACGCUGGCGGCAUGCCUAACACAUGCAAGUCGAACGAGACCUUCGGGUCUAGUGGCGCACGGGUGCGUAACGCGUGGGAAUCUGCCCUUCGGUUCGGAAUAACUCAGGGAAACUUGAGCUAAUACCGGAUAAUGACGUAAGUCCAAAGAUUUAUCGCCGAAGGAUGAGCCCGCGUAGGAUUAGCUUGUUGGUGGGGUAAUGGCCCACCAAGGCGACGAUCCUUAGCUGGUCUGAGAGGAUGAUCAGCCACACUGGGACUGAGACACGGCCCAGACUCCUACGGGAGGCAGCAGUGGGGAAUAUUGGACAAUGGGCGAAAGCCUGAUCCAGCAAUGCCGCGUGAGUGAAGAAGGCCUU